AGAGUUUGAUCCUGGCUCAGGAUGAACGCUAGCGGCAGGCUUAACACAUGCAAGUCGAGGGGCAGCGCGGGAUAGCAAUAUCCUGGCGGCGACCGGCGGAAGGGUGCGUAACGCGUGAGCGACAUGCCCGUUGCCCGGGGACAACCGGUGGAAACGCCGACUAAUCCCCGAUGGGAUACGAUGCCUCAUGGCAUUGUAUUGAAAGUUACGGCGGCGACGGAUUGGCUCGCGUCCGAUUAGCUUGUUGGCGGGGUAACGGCCCACCAAGGCUGCGAUCGGUAGGGGUUCUGAGAGGAAGGCCCCCCACAAUGGGACUGAGACACGGCCCAUACUCCUACGGGAGGCAGCAGUGAGGAAUAUUGGUCAAUGGGCGGAAGCCUGAACCAGCCAUGCCGCGUGCGGGAAGGAGGCCCUAUGGGCUGUGAACCGCUUUUGCCUGGGGGCAAUAAGGGCGUCGCGCACGUCCGAUGAGAGUACCAGGCGAAUAAGCAUCGGCUAACUCCGUGCCAGCAGCCGCGGUAAUACGGGGGAUGCGAGCGUUAUCCGGAUUCAUUGGGUUUAAAGGGUGCGUAGGCUGUGCGUCAAGUCGGGGGUGAAAUUCCGGUGCUCAACACCGGGGCUGCCCUUGAUACUGUCGCGCUGGAGUGCGGAUGCCGCCGGAGGAAUGAGUGGUGUAGCGGUGAAAUGCUUAGAUAUCACUCAGAACACCGAUUGCGAAGGCAUCUGGCGAAUCCGUAACUGACGCUGAGGCACGAAAGCGUGGGGAUAGAACAGGAUUAGAUACCCUGGUAUUCCACGCCGUAAACGAUGAUGGCUAACCGCCGGCGACACACUGUCGGUGGCCAAGCGAAAGCGAUAAGCCAUCCACCUGGGGAGUACGUCGGCAACGAUGAAACUCAAAGGAAUUGACGGGGGCCCGCACAAGCGGAGGAACAUGUGGUUUAAUUCGAUGAUACGCGAGGA
rnacentral:rRNA from 1 species